rnacentral:lncRNA from 1 species
CGGAACUGCCCACCCACACCGCCGGCCCGGCCCCCCACCUCACCACUGAUGCCCCCUCACCGGCCUAUAAAAUGGCCUCAACACCUGGCUCCUUUCCCCACCCAUCCACACGCCGCCCAUGCUCCCUCCCUCGCCAAGCACCGCCGCCUCCACCCGUGCGCCGCCGCCCUUAUCCGUUGCCGGCCGCCCCUCCCUCCCUACUCCAAAUCUCCAAGGUGAGUAGCAAAAUGGGGCCUCCACACCUCCCCCUGCCCUCCCCCACCGUCAGCGCUCGCCGCCGGCAAGGCCCGGCCGGCCAGCCACCACCGACCCACUCCCCCCCCAUUCUCCCUGUGCAACCUAGGGAAGAAGAAGAUAAGAUUCCCCAAUUUCCCAUCUAACCCCCACCUUUCCCCAAAUUCCAAAUAAGUCCUUCCACCACUCUCAAGAACUUCUCACAGAUCAGCCCCUCCACUCCUGAAGAUAUUUACAAAUAGGUCCCUGGUUUCUCACGGUUUAGUCCUAAACUCUCUUUUAAGCCCCUAAUCCAUGUUUAACUCAUCAUUUUCCAAUUAAUCCCAAAUUCGACCACGUCAUUCUCCAAUAUACUUCCGCCGAUCCAUAUCCAAAUUUCCUGAAAAUACUCAUUCUACCUAUUUUUCGUUCGCGUUCUCUGUUCGGAGCUCAACGGGUAAAACCUUAUUUUCUUUUAAUUAUUUGUGUGCCCGUUUGUGUAUGUCGUAGAUCGUGGAGUACCCGAGGAGGAGCAUGAGGAGGAGUUUGACCACGAGCCCGAGCCCGAGGACCAGCAGCAUGACCAGAACUCCCGGAAGGCUUUGAGGACGGCAAGUCCAAUCUCACCCUUUGAUGCAUAUUUAUUCCUAGUUUUCAAACACAACCUAUUGGCCUGUUUUAUAAAAAUGCAUAUUGUUUUUAUUGCAAAACAUGGUUGGAUAGCCACCCCUUGAUUGUUAUGAUUAUUCCUUGUUGUCCUAUAUUAUCUCUAAAUAUGACUUGCUCUAUUUAGAUGAUAAUUACUGCUAGAAUGCUUAG